rnacentral:lncRNA from 1 species
CUGUGUCUUAUGCUGGAAAAUUAACUCUGCAAGGAGAGCCAUCAUUUGGAGCCCAAAAAGCCCAAUGCCAGGCCUUACUAGCAGCAUCUAAAAACCUUGAAGAGUUUAAGCUGAUUUGUCAGCAGAUGUAUAAUCAGCUUACUUCAUCGGAGAAAGAAAAAUUAAAUCAAGAGUCAUCCAGUAGUAAAGAAUCAUCAAAACGGUCUACCAGUAAGAAGAUGGUCAAGAAAAAAU